UCAUUUUGUUUGUCAACCAGCGUUUUGUGUUCUCAGCACCUGGUUUUGCCCAGUCUCUCUUUUCUUGUCCUCCCUGACCCUGCCUGCUGUUCUGUACCUCUGCCCCCUCUGGAUUACCGAUCUCUGUCUACCCUGACCCUGAACCUGCCUGCUGUUCUGUACCUCUGCCCCCUCUGGAUUACCGAUCUCUGUCUAAGUGACCCUGAACUUGCCUGCUGUUCUGUACCUCUGCCCUCUCUGGAUUACCGAUCUCUGUCUAAGUGACCCUGAACUUGCCUGCUGUUCUGUACCUCUGCCCUCUCUGGAUUACCGAUCUCUGUCUACCCUGACCCUGAACCUGCCUGCUGUUCUGUACCUUCGCAUACUCUGGAUUAUCGACCCCUGCCUUCCUUGAUCUUUGCCCCUGUUGUUACAAUAAACAUUGUUACUUCGACAGUCUGCAUCCAGGGUUUUACCUUGGUUCUGCUGGAGAAAUAACUGCAGAAGAAUGGAAGUGUGAACAUCCUGUGGAUCCUUUCCACUUCAGUUAUGGUUGAUAAAUUAUAUGAAUGGAUUCUCAUGAAUAUGUGGAGGACAAAGAGAUUGUGUUUCUUGAAAUGCAUCAAAGAGAGAGUGCAACAGGAUUUGAAACAUAAUUGGCAUAUUGGCAACAUUACUAACACAAAAUAAAAUGCAAGCCAGAUUUUAAAUCCUCAACACCCAAUAGCUUCAGCGCUAUUGGCAAAAGGAAAAACAUUCAAAUGUUUAUAAAAUGGUACAAUUGAAAUCAUUCUGUACCUAAGAAUGA